AAUUUUUUACAAGGGGCGCAAGCCUGAUCCAGCCAUGUCGCGUGAGUGAAAAAGGCCUUCGGGUUGUAAAGCUCUUUCGGACGGAAAGAAAUCGCGCAGGAUAAUACCCUUCGCGGAAGACGGUACGGUUUUAAGAAGCACCUGCUAACUACGGCCCUGCAGCCUCGGUAAUACGUAGGGUGCGAGCGUUAAUCGGAAUUACUGGGCGUAAAGCGUGCGCAGGCGGUUGAUUAAGACAGGCGUGAAAUCCCCGGGCUUAACCUGGGAACUGCGCUUGUGACUGGUCAGCUAGAGUACGGCAGAGGGGGGUGGAAUUCCACGUGUAGCAGUGAAAUGCGUAGAGAUGUUGAGGAACACCGAUGGCGAAGGCAGCCCCCUGGGCCGAUACUGACGCUCAUGCACGAAAGCGUGGGUAGCAAACAGG
rnacentral:rRNA from 1 species